UGGGGUGUAGUUCAGUGGUAGAGCCCUUGCUUAGCAAGCAUGAAGCCUGGGUCCAAUUCCCAGUGCUGUAA
rfam:Ictidomys tridecemlineatus contig061137, whole genome shotgun sequence.